rnacentral:rRNA from 2 species
GGCGAGUGAAGCGGCAAAAGCUCAAAUUUGAAAUCUGGUACCUUCGGUGCCCGAGUUGUAAUUUGAAGAUAGUUUUCUGGCACUGGUCCUUGUCUAUGUUCCUUGGAACAGGACGUCAUGGAGGGUGAGAAUCCCGUUUGAUGGGGAAUCCAGUGCUUUGUAGAUUUCUAUCGAAGAGUCGAGUUGUUUGGGAAUGCAGCUCUAAGUGGGUGGUAAAUUCCAUCUAAAGCUAAAUACUGGCGAGAGACCGAUAGCGAACAAGUACAGUGAUGGAAAGAUGAAAAGAACUUUGAAAAGAGAGUGAAAAAGUACGUGAAAUUGUUGAAAGGGAAGGGUAUUGGAUCAGACUUGGUGUUUUGUGAUUAUCUUCCUCUUGUAGGUUGUGCACUCGCAUUUCACCGGGCCAGCAUCGGUUUGUUUGGCAGGAUAAUGGUACCAGGAACGUGGCUCAUUUUGAGUGUUAUAGCCUGUGUUCAGAUGCUGCCUAAAUAGACCGAGGACUGCGGCUUUUAGCCU